CCCAUUUUUAUAUACGUUUCUCCCGAUAUUAUUCUCUAAAUUGAAAGAAAACAACAGGCAUAUAUUUUCAUUAGCUUUGAACUGAAAACCUUUUAAGAUAAGCCGAAGUUGACUUUUUCGUUCAUCGCCUAUAAUCGUACAGCAAAGAAAAACAUAAACAUUUUCGGUUCUUUUUGUGCGCGAAUAAUCCACUAAUUUUUCCCGCAAGACGCACUUAGCACCAAAGACGGUCAUUGAUUGUAUUUAUAAUCCUAUUAAAUUAGUGGUUUAAGUUAGUGGAAGGCGCGGCUAAGAGGCAACGGUACAGCAACUGGAAUUUCCAAGCAACU